rnacentral:rRNA from 1 species
ACAACAGUGAUGCCCUUAGUAACGGCGAGCAAAACGGGCGGAGCCCAGCACCGAACCGCUGGCCCUCUCGGUCGCGUGGACUGUGGUGUUUGGGAGAGCCUCAUCGCGGCGAUGAGACCUGUCCAAGUCCAUCUUGACAGGGGCUAUGGCUCGCAGAGGGUGAUAGGCCCGUGGGACGGUCGGCUUGUCGCGGUGGCUCCUCCCCAGAGUCGAGUUGCUUGGGAGUGCAGCUCAAAGCGUGUGGUAAACUCCACGUAAAGCUAAAUAUGACCCCGAGACCGAUAGCGAACAAGUACCGUGAGGGAAAGUUGAAAAGAACUUUGAAGAGAGAGUUCAAUAGUACGUGAAACUGUGUAGUGGUAAAUGGAGGGGUUUCUCGAAGUUUGCGCCGGAGGUUCAAGCUGAGGGCGGGGCGGCUGUUGGGUUGGUGAUCCUCGCGUUCGUUUGGUUGCCCGGCGGUCGGCCCUGUCGGCGGCUGCACUUCUUCGGCGCCGUUUGCGACGAACCGCUGACGGUACUCCGCGGGGGAGGGUGAAGUUCGCGGUGGCCUUCCGGGGUGGUCGCGAGCCCCUUUUUCCGGGCCGCGUCGCCGGCGGGUAGGAGGGCUGUCUCGUAUAGCGAGCGCGAGCUUCUCGUGCGGGCCGCGUUUCUGUCGUGAGUAGGUCGGCGGCCCCUCCGACCCGUCUUGAAACACGGACCAAGGAGUCUAACACGCCCGCGAGUCAUUGGGUGUUCUAAACCCAAGGGCGCAGUGAAAGCAAAGGGUCCUCGCAACCCAAGGGGCGGGGCGCAGCCCCGGCGCUUCGCGUCGACCUCGCAUUGUGCGGAGCAGCAAGAGCGUGCCUGUUGGGACCCGAAAGAUGGUGAACUAUGCCUGGCCAGGUUGAAGUCAGGGGAAACCCUGAUGGAGGACCGUAGCGAUUCUGACGUGCAAAUCGAUCGUCGGAGCUGGGUAUAGGGACGAAAGACUAAUCGAACCAUCUAG